rnacentral:tRNA from 1 species
GCCCUAAUAGUUCAGUGUUAGAACAUCGGUUUUGUAAUCCGAAAGUCGGAGGUUAAAAUCCCCCUUAGUGCU